rnacentral:rRNA from 1 species
AGCGAACGCUGGCGGCAGGCUUAACACAUGCAAGUCGAGCGGGCGUAGCAAUACGUCAGCGGCAGACGGGUGAGUAACGCGUGGGAACGUACCUUUUGGUUCGGAACAACACAGGGAAACUUGUGCUAAUACCGGAUAAGCCCUUACGGGGAAAGAUUUAUCGCCGAAAGAUCGGCCCGCGUCUGAUUAGCUAGUUGGUGAGGUAAUGGGCUCACCAAGGCGACGAUCAGUAGCUGGUCUGAGAGGAUGAUCAGCCACAUUGGGACUGAGACACGGCCCAAACUCCUACGGGAGGCAGCAGUGGGGAAUAUUGGACAAUGGCGCAAGCCUGAUCCAGCCAUGCCGCGUGAGUGAUGAAGGCCCUAGGGUUGUAAAGCUC